ensembl:snRNA U6 U6 spliceosomal RNA
UUGCUUUGGCAGCAUAUACACUAAAACUGGAAUGAUACAGAGAAAUUUGCAUUUCCCCUGCACAAGGUUGUUACACAAAUUUGUGAAGCAUUCCAUAGUUUU